rnacentral:rRNA from 1 species
GCUUCUGAAGAAUCAUUUGAGGUACUUAGUGGCGGACGGGUGAGUAACGCGUGGGUAACCUGCCUCACACAGGGGGAUAACGGUUGGAAACGACUGUUAAUACCGCAUAAGCGCACAGUAUCGCAUGAUACAGUGUGAAAAACUCCGGUGGUGUGAGAUGGACCCGCGUCUGAUUAGCUAGUUGGCGAGGUAACGGCCCACCAAGGCGACGAUCAGUAGCCGGCCUGAGAGGGUAAACGGCCACAUUGGGACUGAGACACGGCCCAAACUCCUACGGGAGGCAGCAGUGGGGAAUAUUGCACAAUGGGGGAAACCCUGAUGCAGCGACGCCGCGUGAGUUAUGAAGUAUUUCGGUACGUAAAACUCUAUCAGCAGGGAAGAAAAUGACGGUACCUGACUAAGAAGCACCGGCUAAAUACGUGCCAGCAGCCGCGGUAAUACGUAUGGUGCAAGCGUUAUCCGGAUUUACUGGGUGUAAAGGGUGCGUAGGUGGCAUGGCAAGUCAGAUGUGAAAUGCCGGGGCUCAACCCCGGAACUGCAUUUGAAACUGUCAAGCUAGAGUACAGGAGAGGAAAGCGGAAUUCCUAGUGUAGCGGUGAAAUGCGUAGAUAUUAGGAGGAACACCAGUGGCGAAGGCGGCUUUCUGGACUGACACUGACACUGAGGCACGA